GACGGCCUAGACCUCUCACGAACUCGUCACAGCAUCGUCCAUGCGCCUCAUCCUGUGGUACCUGUUCUUGACCUAUGGGGGGUGUGAGACAGCAAGAGUGAGCUCACAUACGUUCAGCGCUCAACAAGUUGUGGGGAAUAAUGUAAAUGAACUCGCCAAAGGUGGGAGCUCACGUGAAGUGUAAGGCUUACCAAAGAGGAUGGCUGAAGCUAAGCAUUGCUUUUAAAGAUGGUCAAAAUUUUAUUAGCAAUUACUAAGUAUAAGUAAAUACCAACCCAAUUAAGUAGUAGAACAAAAGUAACAAUAACAUCACCUGCGAUGCAAUGCAUAUGACAAAUUGAAUUUAGUUCCAUAAAUUAAUCAUGUGAGUGUCUGAGCUGCUCAUGACCAUGAGCACGGCUAGUAUACCGGUUUUACGCUCUGCAGAGGUUGCGCAUCUUUACCCACAAGUCAUGUUACCCAUCUGCCAAGAGACGGCCAAUCCCAUACACCUCUACCGAGGAGGCGAGGCAAGGUAACACUACAAGGCCUUUACAAAGUUCCACUAGCUUUAGAAAACCCGCUACAGUUUAUAGGCAGCUCCAGUGUAGGAAUCCCUCGCCUGACCGCCAUCGUAGCAAAAUCAACCAAGGACCUCCCUACACUGACCACUCCUCUACUGCCCUUGCCCCUUUCGGGUAAGGUAGUCAUCCACUAGCUUUCCUAGUUAAUCAGCCAAGGGCGUCCCAUUAAACCCUUGUGGUAGCACUGUUUUCCCGGGUGGUUCUCCAUGUUCCCAUUAACAUAAUGAUCUUAUCAUGAACAGUAAAUAAUGAACAGAUAAUAAAAAGUGUAAUCAUGAGUAAUGAAUAUCUCUAUACCCAGAACCCCAUAAAGCAAUAGCAUGUACUACCCAAAAUUCAGUGGUGAACAAGGUAUAAAGAUAGUCAAACUAGGGUAACCUAUUGGGUCCCAUCAAAAUUAACCUAUGCAGAUCAUUAUAAUUAAUCAGGACAUGACUGAGUAAUAAGAAGUGAUCAAGGGCACAACUUGCCUACCACUUGAGAUUCCAGGUACCAACUUGCUCUUCAGAUGACACGUGACCUCGCGCUAGUCGUAGCAAUACAAACAAACAUAGUAUGGACAAAAUUAACAUCACACCAAACAUAAGAAUAAAUUGCAUAAUAAUGAUCUACGCGUUGUAACGAGAUUGUGGGUUCGAGAACCACUAAAAUCGGAGUCAAGGUUAAGGAGUUAUGGUUUAUAAAAGAUCUAUGUGAUUUAAAUGUCAAACUAUAUUAUAAUUUGGUUAGUAUAAAUAAUAUGAGAGGUUAUUCCAUAAAUAAUUAUUUCAACUUUAAUCUAAGUUAUAAAUUGACCAUAAAUUAUAUUCUAGUGAAUUAUAAUGAUAAGCAGAUUAACCAACAUAAGUUAAAUGGAGAUCUAAUUAUAUAAUAAUAAGACAUGGUAUAAUAAAUGGUGUUAUGGCAUAGUACAUACUUAUACGAGACUAGCACAAGUUGAACGGAUCAAAUCGAAGUUAGAAUGGAUUUUCUAUGAAUUAAAUAAGUUUCUGGAUUUAUUUUUAUAUUAACAAUUCAUUUUAUGAUUUAAUUAUGAAUUUCUCUAUUAAUUCUAGACCGAGAACACUAUUUUGACAAAGUCCAGGGUGCUCUGCACAAGAUUUCCGGGCCAAACUGUAAUAGUUUUCAACAAGCGAGGGAUGGCGGGUUUAUUUCUGAAAAUGGCAGGGUCUCUUUCGCAUAAUCCCUGGCCGAAGGGGUACAAGUGAACGCAAACCGCUCAGAUUAGACCCAACAGUGCAGAUUGGAUUUGGGCACUUUAUAAACCAGUGCGCGAGAUUAACCACACGAUCCAGAUCCUAUGCAUAGGAUAAGCUCGAGCGAAACGUUACCUCGGCCAUAUGAUCUGAGCCACGCAUUUCCUGAUCGACGGCCCAAGAGUCAUCUUCAUCCUCCCCUCCGACUAAGCCAGAUAGUAGCGCGCUUGCCACCAUGAUGAAGCUGCCCGUCGGAGCACCACUGCCCGAGACCCCGGGCCCAACUCCCACACGGGCAAUUCCGCAGGCAUUCAACGAAGCAUCCCGAGCAUCCAUGCGCCAAAGCAACAGCACAACAAGCUGCACCGCGGCGGAGCUUUCUUCCCAGCUGUCGCGCUGCGGCGAGGAGGCCCGGUCCACCAAACGCCACAAGCACAGGAAAGUUCCCGGGCGCCUAUGGUGCUGCGAAUACCCUAGGACUCCGCACCAUAAUCAAUCGCGGGGGAAACCGAGACGACCACGGCGGUGGCCAUCUACUCUAUCCUGGCGGUCUCUCUUCGCUCUCUCCUAUAAUGGCCCUUGCAUGAGGAUGCAAAAAACAACGUUUUUUUGGAAGAACUAGGGAUUGGGAGGGAUGGCUCGGCUGUCGUAUAAAUACACCGAAGGUGCCGAGUCCUGGCCAAGGGGGACGUCAGUUAGGUGGUUACAACUACUCGGGUUGUUACGAUCUCUGGAGCUUCUAUUGAUGUCCGUUUCGCAGCAUGAGAUGAAUCACGACGUGAGCAACAGGAGCCCCACGCGCACUCCGCAAUGUGCUGGCCUGAAUUUGCAUGAUGAUGUCCUUGCAUCAGCAUGACAUAAGCUCCGUCUAGGUGAAUAAAGAAAGUGGAAAUUCACGUCUCCAAUGUGGUACGUCUGGAGUAGUAGUUUUAUCUUUUUUUUCUCAUUUUCCGAUUUCAGUUUUAAAUCCCAACUUCAAAUUUUUAUUCUAUGUUUUAGACUUUGAUAAAAUUCACAACAAAUAGACAAAAUAUCCAGCAUGAGAUGCAAGUAUUUUUUAUUAAUUAUCUUACCCCGUUAUUUGGGAAAUUAUUUCAAAUAUGCAAUGCACACAUGAAAUGUUUAUUUUUAAGAAAAUAUGGUUUUAAUUAUUUUAGUUAAAAUUUCAUUUAAAGUGAAUAUUCAUUACUUGAUUAUUUUAGGAGAAAAUAAUGUAUAUUUUUUCUAUCAUGAGUUACUUUAACACGUAAAAGAAUAUUUUAUAUACAGUCCUAGAAGGGGAUAAUUCAUUCUAAUAAAUUGAAGCUCUUUUUAUUAUUUCUUGAAAUUUACAAACUGAAUUUCUAUUUCUAUUUUACCUUAACUAAUAUUGUUUUAAUGUUUCUAUUUAUUUUUAGAAAAAGGUGGAUUCCAAAGUAUAACUAUUCAUUAGGGACACUUUACUUUGAUUCCUGUUACUAGUCCCCAAAAUUAGGAUUUUGGGCGUUACAAACUCUACCCCCUUUAAAAAUAAUCUCGUCCUCGAGAUUAGUAAGGAAAGGGAUGCAACAAGUUUGGUUUAAAAUUUAGUUUCCCAUAUGGUUUAGGGACCAAUAGUUUUGUCCAAAGUUCUUAAAUACUAGCUAGUAGAUGAUUAGGAAAAUAUGGACAUAGUAUGCCUAGUCAUCUUAUUAGGUCAGAUGAGUUACGGUUAUAGUAAGUAUAGGCCGUGGCAAGGAAGAGUUUAAUAAGAGAAGACUACAUCCUGAACUAUGGAUCUUGAUUCCUCUUGAGGUUGGAUUUGACUCAUCUCCUCCCUUGUCGAGGUUGAGCACUCUUUUCAGACCUUGGUGUCUUUCUUCCCGGAUAGGAACAUGUGGUUAAGACAGAUUUGUAGGUGACAAAUAGGUAGAGCCGCUAGUUUAGUAGGUGACUAAGAGUUAAAUGGGAUUGGCCUGACUUAGUUUGGUUGUUUGCUUCUAGAUUGGUUGGAUAAGUUAUGUAACCUAUUAUGUAGGUCAAGUGGUUGUAUAUGGCCAAACUAGUCUUAGGGCACCAGUUUAGGUUAACACCUAUUUAUAUGAAUAAGGUCUAAUCUAUUUCACUAGUACUAACUAAUCUGGUAAUUAUAUUAUUUAGAUUAGAUCUGGUCCCCCAAGAUCACAUUAACUUAGAUUGGAUCUAGAUUAAAUUGAUAUCACUAGAUUAGACUAGAUAAGAUCUACUUAAUUUAUUUCGGACUAGAUCAUGCUUGUUACUUUAGAAUGAGAUAAUCAAAGUGGUUAGGACAGGUUGGAAUGAGAAGAUAGAAUCCUUUUAAGGUAAGAUGGGUCUAUAAGAUAGAUCUAUUCUUUUUCAAUGGGUGAUAAUCUAUCUUUCUAAAUAUAUUUUUGUCUCUAUGUAUUUAGAUGCAAUUGUGGAUAUUACUCCACAACUCAUCACACUCAAUCAAAGAUCCAAAUCAGACAUGUAUCACAAGAACAAACAUUCAAGCAUAUAGAUAAAAAAAUAGUUUUGUUUUUUUUGUUCCUAAGAGUAGGUCUCCUAUUCCUAAAAGUCACUUUAGGCACCAGAUUUCAAAGUGUGAAAUCCACAUUUGUCUUUAGAAAAGAAAAGAUAAGAGUAAUCAGAGUAAAGCAGAAAUAGAUGAGAAAAGAUUAAGAAGAGUUUAGAAAAGAUCAGAGUAGCAAAGGUAAGUAGAUAAUGGUUGUCCAGUUCUAUCUAGGUUUUGUCCUACAGUCAACAUUCCUCUGAUACCACUUCUGUCACACCCGGGUUUCGGGGCACCAAGACCCGGGCACGAACAAUCACCAGUUGUGUUGGGACCAAGUCUCACACAUAUGAUGAAUCAUGGCACAAGAUCGAAUGUCACAUCUUUACUAUAUAAUAGGAGUUCUGUACAAAAUAAAUAAAUGAUUACAUUAUAAGGAGACGACGGUCCAGCAACCCAAAGUUGACUGGGAGACGACGACCUAGACCUCUCACGAACUCGUCACAGCAUCCUCCAUGCGCCUCAUCCUGUGGUACUUGUUCUUGACCUAUGUGGGGUGUGAGACAGCAAGAGUGAGCUCACAUACGUUCAUCGCUCAACAAGUUGUGGGGAAUAAUGUGCAUGAACUCGCCAAAGGUGGGAGCUCACGUGAAGUGUAAGGCUUACCAAAGAGGAUGGCUAAAGCUAAGCAUUGUUUUUAAAGUUGGUCAAAAUUUUAUUAGCAAUUACUAAGUAUAAGUAAAUACCAACCUAAUUAAGUAGUAGAACAAAAGUAACAACAACAUCACCUGCGAUGCAAUGCAUAUGACAAAUUGAAUUUAGUUCCAUAAAUUAAUCAUGUGAGUGUCCAAGCUGCUCAUGACCGUGAGCACGGCUAGUAUACCAGUUUUACACUCUGCAGAGGUUGCGCAUCUUUACCCACAAGUCAUGUUACCCAUCUGCCAAGAGACGGCCAAUCCCAUACACCUCUACCGAGGAGGCGAGGCAGGGUAACACUACGAGGCCUUAACAAAGUUCCACUAGCUUUAGAAAACUCGCUACAGUUUAUAGGAAGCUCCAGUGCAGGAAUCCCUCGCCUCACCGCCAUCGCAACAAAAUCAUCCAAGGACCUCCCUACACUGACCACUCCCCUACUGCCCUUGCCCCUUUCGGGUAAGGUAGUCAUCCACUAGCUUUCCUAGUUAAUCAGCCAAGGGCGUCCCAUUAAACCCUUGUGGUAGCACUGUUUUCCCGGGUGGUUCUCCAUGUUCCCAUUAACAUAAUGAUCUUAUCAUGAACAGUAAAUAAUGAACAGAUAAUAAAAAGUGUAAUCAUGAGUAAUGAAUAUCUCUAUACCCAAAACCACAUAAAGCAAUAGCAUGUACUACCCAAAAAUCAGUGGUGAACAAGGUAUAAAGAUAGUCAAACUAGGGUAACCUAUUGGGUCCCAUCAAAAUUAACCUAUGCAGAUCAUUAUGAUUAAUCAGAACAUGACUGGGUAAUAAGAAGUGAUCAAGGGCACAAUUUGCCUGUCACUUGAGAUUCCAGGUACCAACUUGCUCUUCAGAUGACACGUGACCUCGCGCUAGUCGUAGCAAUACAAACAAACAUAGUAUGGACAAAAUUGACAUCACACCAAACAUAAGAAUAAAUUGCAUAAUAAUGAUCUACGCGUUGUAACGAGAUUGUGGGUUCGAGAACCACUAAAAUCGGAGUCAAGUUAAGGAGUUAUGGUUUAUAAAAGAUCUAUGUGAUUUAAAUGUCAAACUAUAUUAUAAUUUGGUUAGUAUAAAUAAUAUGAGAGGUUAUUCCAUAAAUAAUUAUUUCAACUUUAAUCUAAGUUAUAAAUUGACCAUAAAUUAUAUUCUAGUGAAUUAUAAUGAUAAGCAGAUUAACCAACAUAAGUUAAAUGGAGAUCUAAUUAUAUAGUAAUAAGACAUGGUAUAAUAAAUGUUGUUAUGGCAUAGUACAUACUUAUACGAGACCAACACAACUUGAACGGAUCAAAUAAGAGUUAGAAUGGAUUUUCUAUGAAUUAAAUAAGUUUCUGGAUUUAUUUUUAUAUUAACAAUUCAUUUUAUGAUUUAAUUAUGAAUUUCUCUAUUAAUUCUAGAUCGGGGACACUAUUUUGACAAAGUCCACGAUGCUCUGCACAAGAUUUUCGGGACAAACUGUAAUAGUUUUCAACAAGCGAGGAUGGCGGGUUUAUUUCUGAAAAUGGCAGGGUCUCUUUCGCAUAAUCCCCGACCGAAGGGGUACAAGUGAACGCAAACCGCUCAGAUUAGACCCAAUGGUGCAGAUUGGAUUUGGGCACUUUAUAAACCGGUGCGCGAGAUUAACCACACGAUCCAGAUCCUACGCAUAGGAUAAGCUCGAGCGAAACGUUACCUCGACCAUAUGAUCUGAGCCGCGCAUUUCCUGAUCGACGGCCCAAGAGUCAUCUUCAUCCUCCCCUCCGACUAAGCCAGAUAGCAGCGCGCCUGCCACCAUGGCGAAGCUGCCCGUCGGAGCACCACUGCCCGAGACCACGAGCCCAACUCCCACAUGGGCAAUUCCGCAGGCAUUCAACGAAGCAUCCCGAGCAUCCAUGCGCCAAGGCAACAGCACAACGAGCUGCACCGCGGCGGAGCUUUCUUCCCGGCUGUCGUGCUGCGGCGAGGAGGCCCGGUCCACCAAACGGCACAAGCACAGGAAAGUUCCCGGGCGCCUAUGGUGCUGCGAAUACCCUAGGACUCCGCACCAUAAUCAAUCGCGGGGGAAACCGAGACAAGCACGGCGGUGGCCAUCUACUCUCUCCUGGCGGUCUCUCUUCGCUCUCUCCCAUAAUGGCGCUUGCAUGAGGAUGCAGAAAACAACGUUUUUUG
rnacentral:lncRNA from 1 species